rnacentral:rRNA from 1 species
AAUGAACGCUGGCGGCGUGCUUUACACAUGCAAGUUGAGCGAGGCUGGGUAGCAAUACCCAAGUCGAGCGGCGAACGGGUGAGUAACACGUGGAUAACCUGCCCAGAAGUGGGGGACGAACCCGGGAAACGUACGGCGUAAUACCGCAUAACACCGAAAGGUACGAAAGGGACCCGGCCAAGGGUCGUCGCUACUGGAGGGGUCCGGCGUCCGAUUAGCUAGUUGG